AUUAUACUAACUAAAAAUACUUCCUUGAGGACCGCCUCCAGACUCUCGUCUUCAAGUUCGGCGUGGCCAAGUCAAUCCACCACGCCAUGGUCUUCAUUCGCCAGCGCUACAUUAAGACUUUCUUUCUUCUUUUCACUUUUUUCCUGAAAUUUAGAGUUUUUAAAUUCCUAAUUUUUUAUUGUUUGUUUUUGUUCAUUGUCGAAUUAAGAAUCUAAUCUUCUUGGUUUCUUGGCUUUUGAUAAAGUAUUAUUAAGUUUUGUGAUAAUAGAAGAUUUGUUGAUUUCAGAUGUGCUACUCCAGCUUCAUCAAGAUUUGCCAAUAAUAACAAUAAUAAUGAUGCACUAGAAGGAGAGUAAGAUAAUUACCCUUUUCCUGUGGUGAUUUAUGUUAAUCAGUAACUGAGAAACAAAGAAGAGAGCAACUGAAUGGCAAAUACAAAAUCCUGAGGAGUGUUAUCCCAAGCCCCACGAAGAUGGAUAGAGCCUCUGUGGUGGGUGAUGCCAUUGAAUAUAAUAAGGGAGCUGCUCAGAACGGUCAAUAAGCUCAAAUUACUGCUGGAGAAGAAAAGAUGUUGAAGGGAGAGAUGCAAAAGGCAGAAAGCGAAAGAUGAUGCUGCAGAGAGCUGCAACAUAAAGCCUUUCAGCAAUCUAGAUGGAUGCAUAAGGACCUCAUGGCUUCAAAGGAAAUCGAAAGAUAUCUAACCUGAAAUUUGGCUUAUUCUUUUUGCAGGUCUUAACCAGAAUUCGACACUGCAGCUAUCACGUGGCUUUUCUGUGGGAAAAUCUCCUGGUUCUAAGCCUGGUGUUGCUGUGGUUGUCGAAAGAGUUAGGAUACACGGGCUGUCAAGGUUUAGAAACCUGAGUAAAUUCGCGCACUCCAUGAAAGUGAAGGUGUUGCCUGCAGAUCCAAAUAUUCGCAUUCCAAACAUAGAGAUCUGUUUUCAUAGGAAUGCAUCUCUUGCUAUAGGAAUGUGCUCACAAGGCCAGUGGGAAAAAGUUACCAAGGGUUCUUGGGUUCGAUCAAUGUCUCCUUUUGACCACAAGCUCUUAGAUAUAAGGACUGCUAGCUCAACACUGGCAUCCUUCUUAAGCAAAUCGUUAGCAUUUUAUUAUAGCAGCGCAAUGGCAGUUGGGAUCAUUCUUGUGAUACUUAUGAUUCUUUACCAGAUAAAGAAGCAUUAUUUUCAGGAAAUUUCAUGUUUACUCCUUUGAAGCUUGAGAGCCAAAGUGCAAAGGCACAUCAGUGAUAAAGUGAUUUCUAAAGUCAUGAUAAAUAGUGGCAAACUGAACAUUGUGGAUGGGGUGUAGAGGCAGCUGAAACCAUCUACAAAGACGAAUUCAUAAUUGAGUAUAUUGGAGAAGGGGUAGGAUCAGAAAGUGAGCGAAUGGUUUUAGGCGUGGCGUAGUGUGGAUUGGAGCAUCACUGGAUUGAGGACAAGUGCAUCCAACACGGCCCCAUAUGAUGGUCACUCACCAAUAGUGGGAUGUUUAUUGCUGACAACUCACUCAUGCCUCAUGCCUCAUGCCUCAUGCAUAGAGGCUUUAGUUUGUCAAUACUCAUCACAAAGUAAAUUAAAGUGUGCUGC